GCUUCCAGCCUGACCCUCGCUGGCCUUGACCGAUUUGGAAAGCUAAGCAGGGUCACAUCAGGAUAGUACUUGGAUGGGAGACUACCUGGGAAAGGAAAUGCUAGAGGCU
rnacentral:rRNA from 1 species